rnacentral:lncRNA from 1 species
CUUGUGCCACGGUGGCCCAAAUGUCAGUCAACCAGACAUGUCUUCUGAGAGUUCCCAGGAAUGUGGUGAAGAGCAACUGUAAGCGAUAAGAUUGUUCCCAGCGCUAAUAAAACUUUGGAGUUAAUUAACUGAGAAGAAGGUAAAAUGAAAUGUUGUUAUGAGGGCUAAAGUUGUUUUUCUACCUUUUUGAAAAUUAUUUUUUAUCUGUUGAAAUUAUAAUAUAAUUAUCAUCUCUCCUUCUUUUUGCUCCCCUCUCAGAAAUUAACAGCCUUGAGUUGCAGGUGGAAGGUGCAGAAGCCAAAUUAAAAACAGUCUUUUCAGGCUGAGCUCAGGAGCCUGAAUUUCCAUGCUGUAAGUGGCUGGGAUCCACUGGAGGAUUUUAAUUGUGUAAGUUGACAAGAUCAGAUUUGCUAUUCAGAAAGCACACCCUGGCACAGAUCGGUGGGUGGAAUAGAAAGUGGUUGCCCUGGAGACAGGCAGACCCAUUAGGAAGCUCUGACAAAGAUCCAGGAGAGAGAAAAUGAGGAUAGUGGUUGGAGGAAUGAGCAGAUUCAAAGACAUUUUAGAGGUGGAACGGAUGGUCGGGAGACGCUCAUUCAGUGUAAAUGCUGAAGGAAAGGAAGAACCAAGGAGCGCUGUGGUUUCCAGCUUGGAUUUCUAUAUGGAUAGUGAAUAAUUAAUGAAGAUGUGGCGGGCGGGCAUAAUGGGGACUUAAGAGGGAGGUAGUUGUAGAUGGACGUGAUCAAUAUACAUUUGUUUAAAUGUGUAUAACUUUCAAAGAGUAAGAGAAUUAUUAUUUUAAUAGAUCAAGGUAUAAAAUACAAAAAAAAGUCAAAUGGGGGGGGGGGUUUGCUAAUGAAUUCAUAUGUGACCUGUUGAAUUUGAUGUAUCUUUUGGACUUGUAGGUGAAGAAGUCACAUGUGGUGAAUAUAUUAUCAUCAGAAUGCGGAGCAAUGAAAUGUAAACAGAUAGGAAUCGUCACUAAAGCUCCAACUGCAGCCUCCGGGUGCCAUAGCUUUUGCACCAUCCAUUUGCACCAUCUCUGCAUUGCUCUCAAUCACUGCCACGAGUCUGGUGAUGCGCUAAGCUCGGGGCAGGAUCUCAAGGGCUUUGAGGAUGUCUGCAUCAUCUGUAUUGACCUGCUCCCCAGAUUAAUACCGAAGCACUGCAAUUUCUUGAGGAUUAUCCACCUAGGAGGAAAUGAUACGCUGGCCCAUCCAUAGUAGUCAAGAAACAGUCUGAGAUCCAAAAAGUGGCUUAAAAGAGGGAAAAGUUAAUCAAAAUGUCUGUGAAGCUCUGGCUUCAGUCUCUCCAGCGAGGCUUUCUGAAGCACAGCUCUGAUAGAACUAAACCCAAUGAGACACCGCCUACAAGAGGAAUCCAGCGUGUGAACGAAGACUAAAAAGCAAAACAGCAGCGUCUGGAGUGGACAGCUUCUCUCACUCAGAGAACUGUAGCCUCAAAUUCCUGGCAGAGGUUUCUUGGAAGAGAAGAAUGAGAUUGGAUCUGAGAAAAUGUGGCUGGGAACCACCAUCUCAGAUGGUAGAAACCACUCAGAAGGAUCAACUGCUGCAGACGGGAAGAGGAGCAACCUCGUGAAUAAUUUCGUGACAGGAUAUUGCAGGAGGGACUUUGUCCAAAUGUGUGCAGGGUAGUUGGCUACAGCAACAAGGAUGACGAACACAGAUGAAUUGAUCAGGAUGUAACCAUUCAAAGUUGAGAGGAUUAGAGGACUUCUCCGAGGCGGCUCCAAUGGAUGCCAGCAGAGUUAAAGUGUCCAAUGGAGAGAAGAGAAGGCUUGGGAAAUCCAGAGUCCAUUCAUUCAUCGCCCUCCUCCUAGAACAACAAAAGCGAGCCCCAGUACUCAUCAGCAUGGACUCUGUGUGUAGUCAUCUCCCUUAGUUUCAGAGGUUCCUGCCUACAGCAAAACUUUAGAGGCUUAGAGUUUAACGGUCAUAGCUUAUUCACCUCCAACUGUGUCCUAGUUCAAGAGAAACACUUCACAUAUCUGUAGGGAGAAGAUAAUGAACCAAGGAUACAAGUUAAGCCUUAGCUAAGACCUGUUACUCAGGAAAAAGAGCUAAAACAAGCUGCUUAGAUCAGCACCAAUGUUAGGUAGAGAGAAAAAGAAACGCUGCAUAGAAAUCUUAAGGUUCACAUGUGCUCCAGGCUGGGUCAACAACUUCUAAUUUCCUUUGCCAACCAACCAUGUCUUUGACAGAAAUGAUCCUUCUACAUAGACCACAGAGGGAUCCAAUGGAGGUUUCUCUUCCUGAAUUUGGGGAUUCAGAAUCUGGACAAAUUCCUUUCCAUCAAAGUCCAGUACAAAAGUAGUACCAUGGCAGUCCCUGCAGGGACUUGCAUCACUUUCCCUAGAGAUAUCAAGAGAAUUUUUAGUGAUAAGAAUAUGGCACAAAAUGAGAAAUCCCAUUACUCUUAAGAGAAUCUCUUCCUUCUCAAAGGCACCUGAUUAAUACAUAUAGUACUAUCAGUAAGGCUGAGCAAAAGGAUACUGAUGUUCUGAGUGAUCUUAAAUCAUGUAAUAAUAACUUUAUUCGUAGUAUAGAACGGAAUAUUCCCUAUUAGUAAUCAGUUCCUUUGCCAGAUCCUCAUAGUAUCUUAGUCACUGUUUUAUUGUUAUGAAGAGAAACUUUGACCACAGCACCUCUUAGAAAAAAGGAAGCAUUUAAUCGGGACUUCCUUAUGGUUUCACAGUUUUACAUAAUUGUCAACAUGGCAGAGAACAUGGGGGCACGCAAACAGACAUGGUGCUGGAGAAGUAGCGGAGAAUAUACAGCAACAUAUAGAUACAAAAUAUAGAUACAUAUAGAUACAGAAUAUAGAUACAUAUAGCUACAUAUAGAUCUGCAGGCAGCAGGAAGAGACUGGGACAAGGCCAUACCUUCUAAGGCUUCUCAAGGAGUGUCACUUCCUGAUGACCAAGCAUUCAAGUGUAUGAGCUUAUGGGAGCCAUUCUUAUUCAAGCCACCACACAUAGCAAAGCUGAUAAUGUCAUUUUCUGAAUUAACCAGGCCAAGGCACACUUCUUAGCAACAUGGUUACCUGGUAACCAGAGAUUUUUCUCAUCCCAUGAGAGAUUUCAUUCAAGAACUGAUCUUCUAACAGUUUUGUCUCUCUUAAGAAUGCUACAGACAGGGUGGGGUGAGGCACAGUGCUGAAGCCCCUCAAGUUUCCCAGAGGGAUGAGUCCAUGAAAGACGAAAAUCAUGUGGUCACACUGAGCAUAGACUUCACAAGCAUCAUGCUAGGAUUCCAUUUUCUUUCUCAACACAAUGAUAAAUUCUUCUUCCAAUAAGCAGAAAAUCAUCCAAUGGGAAAAAAAAAUAAAACCAACUAACUUGCAGUCCUUUGGAACAGUUUCAUAGCUUACAGGAUGGCUUCAUAACCCUGGGGACACUCGUUUUGACAUGAAAACUUCCUUCAGAACAGGAAUUCUGAUCCAACAUGUGCUCAGACAUCAUUUCAGUCACUUGCAAAUGAACAAGAAAGCUCAUGUAAAUGAGGAGGCUCAACUCCCAGGCCUGGUGAGUGGGUAAGACAUUCCUCUGCUGGGUUUUGAAGGCUGUCUGAAACCAUCGGCUGACAUCCUUCUCUGUGUGCAUGUAUGCACUAUCUACGGGAAAUUCAGCUCCAACCGGUUGUCUCUACAGCUCCCUUAAUCUUCUCCUCCCUCCUCCUGGCAUUGGCAUGUGUCCCAGGACUGCAGCGAGGAGUGCUUACCAACAAAGGUGCUGGCAUCUGCAUUUGUUUCACAGCCACAAACCUAAUGGUUCCAUGAUUUUGGCGAGCAAAACUGUCAAAAUGCCUGAGCACAAGAGAUCACAAGAUGAGCCAAGGCAUAGUGUGCAUGCCUUCCUUCCCAGCACUCGGAAGGCAGAGGCAAGGGGAUCUCUGUGGGUUCAAGGCCAGCCUGAAUCACAAGGUGUACUGGGGAUUCUUUUUUAUUGUUUUCCUUUUGCUAUCUGGAAUAGUUUGAGAUUGUAUUUGAUCAGUGCAUUAAACAAC